CCUACGGGUGGCAACAGUGAGGAAUAUUGGUCAAUGGACGAGAGUCUGAACCAGCAAAGUAGCGUGAAGGAUGACUGCCCUAUGGGUUGUAAACUUCUUUUAUAUGGGAAUAAAAUGUUCCACGUGUGGGAUUUUGUAUGUACAAUAUGAAUAAGGAUCGGCUAACUCCGUGCCAGCAGCCGCGGUAAUACGGAGGAUCCGAGCGUUAUACGGAUUUAUUGGGUUUAAAGGGAGCGUAGGUGGAUUUUUAAGUCAGUUGUGAAAGUUUGCGGCUCAACCGUAAAAUUGCAGUUGAAACUGGCAGUCUUGAGUACAGUAGAGGUGGGCGGAAUUCGUGGUGUAGCGGUGAAAUUCUUAGAUAUCACGAAGAACUCCGAUUGCGAAGGCAGUUCACUGGACUGCAACUGACACUGAUGCUCGAAAGUGUGGGUAUCAAACAGGAUUAGAUACCCCGGUAGUC
rnacentral:rRNA from 1 species